UUGAACGCUGGCGGCAUGCCUUACACAUGCAAGUCGAACGGUAGAGGGGCAACCCUUGAGAGUGGCGAACGGGUGAGUAAUGCAUCGGAACGUGCCCAGUCGUGGGGGAUAACGCAGCGAAAGCUGUGCUAAUACCGCAUGUGAUCUGUGGGUGAAAGCAGGGGACCGCAAGGCCUUGUGCGAUUGGAGCGGCCGAUGUCAGAUUAGCUAGUUGGUAGGGUAAAAGCCUACCAAGGCGACGA
rnacentral:rRNA from 1 species